rnacentral:rRNA from 1 species
CCAGCAGCCGCGGUAAUUCCAGCUCCAAUAGCGUAUAUUAAAAUUGUUGCGGUUAAAAAGCUCGUAGUUGGAUUUCUGCUGAUGGUGGCUGGUCCGCCCUCUGGGUGAGUAUCUGGCACAACCACAGCACUUCCCAAAAACAUAACUGCACUUGACUGUGUGGUGUGGUAUUGGGAAAUUUUACUUUGAGGAAAUCAGAGUGUUUCAAGCAGGCAUCCGCCUUGAAUACAUUAGCAUGGAAUAAUAUUAUAGGAUCUUGGUUCUAUUUUGUUGGUUUUUAUAGCCGAGGUAAUGACAAAUAGGGAUAGUUGGGGGCAUUCGUAUUUAAUUGUCAGAGGUGAAAUUCUUGGAUUUAUUAAAGACGGACUACUGCGAAAGCAUUUGCCAAGGAUGUUUUCAUUGAUCAAGAACGAAAGU